rnacentral:rRNA from 1 species
AUUGAACGCUGGCGGCAUGCCUUACACAUGCAAAUCGAACGGUAACGGGCCUUCGGGUGCCGACGAGUGGCGAACGGGUGAGUAAUACAUCGGAACGUGCCCGAUCGUGGGGGAUAACGAGGCGAAAGCUUUGCUAAUACCGCAUACGAUCUACGGAUGAAAGCAGGGGACCGCAAGGGCUUGCGCGGACGGAGCGGCCGAUGGCAGAUUAGGUAGUUGGUGGGAUAAAAGCUUACCAAGCCGACGAUCUGUAGCUGGUCUGAGAGGAUGAUCAGCCACACUGGGACUGAGACACGGCCCAGACUCCUACGGGAGGCAGCAGUGGGGAAUUUUGGACAAUGGGCGCAAGCCUGAUCCAGCCAUGCCGCGUGCAGGAUGAAGGCCUUCGGGUUGUAAACUGAUUUUGUACGGAACGAAAAGCCUUCUUUUAAUACAGGAGGGUCAUGACGGUACCGUAAGAAUAAGCACCGGCUAACUACGUG